ACUGUGGAGUGUAGAUGAACUUGUAAGUAGUAUUGUUUAUACAGUACCAAAGCAUACACGAUGAAGCAGUAA
rnacentral:ncRNA from 1 species